GUGCUUGACUGGAGGAGGGCUGGCAGCAGAAGUGCAGCUGACCGGGUUGCGUUUUCGUACGGCUGACUAAAGCGGAUACCGGUGGCGACUCAUUUCUCGUUUUAUUUUUCAACGAUUUGGCGGAGAAGCUCCUCUUGUGAAUGGACUUUGGAUUUCUUGGAGCUGCGCUGCGGGUCCCACAGUGUGGCUUUCGGCCCGUGCUGUGCUGGCGCCUGCACUUCCUCUGGCGGGGCACGGGGUGGCGCUCCCUGGUAAAGCAGCGGCCAGGGGGAGCCGUGAGUGAGGCGCUGCCUCUCCCGCUGAAGCGGGUUCCAAGGCCACCGUGAGGGGGACCAUCCAUCCAGGAGAGUACUGGGCAGGCUGCAAAUGUCUGUGUUAAAACAGCUCUGCUGGGCUAAGACAGGACAGAAGCAGACAGCAGGUGGAUGAGACACAAUUUCCUAUCCAGCAGAACCUGCAGCAAGCUCCACAGCACCCUCCAUGGGCUCAGUCUUGCUCCCGGGAAGAUGGUUAAUUCCAUCAGCUCCUUCUGGCCGGCAGCAGGAAGAGUGGCCCUGUGUGUGCCAGGCCCUGCAGUCUCUCCUCUCAGCUGGUGUCUCCAGUGAGGGACCUGAGUCAUCGCACACAUGAGCCUGUGCUCAGCCUGCACAUCUCCCGCCUCCCACCAGCUGCUCCUCAACUGCCAGGGCCAGACUGUGGCAAAAUCUCACUCCUCUGCCGAUGCUGGGGUUUCCCUCGUGUCUGGGAGGUGGUGUGCUUGGUGGCCUGAGCACUGCAGUGAAUCCAUGUUUCCCUCCCAGCACCCUGUUCUGUCCUCCAACUUGGCCGACAGCUCUGGCCAGGGACGCAGCCCAGCUGGUGCCCACCCCGCACUCUGUCCAUUUCAUAAGAGCCCUUGGUUUCCUCACUUCCCUCAGAUUUUGCCAAGAGAAUGGUCCUGGUGUGGCCCAGAAAGGCCAGCGGGGUGCAGCCUGGGACUGAAAGCAGAGGCGGCUCUGGUGGGGAAAAAGUAGCUCUCCCAGCCUAGCCCUACUGGUGGGCGGCACCUCCUGGCUCCAGGCCAUCUUUUGUCCCAGUCCUAGGUAAGAAAAACACAAACAAAAGCCAGUCCCAUGGCACUCGAGAAGCAGGAGGCCGUUCCCUGACAGCAACAUGCUGUGUGCACAGACACACGGGUGGACAGGAGGCAGAGCUCGGGGUUGCUGCGGAGCGGGCAGGACACUGGAGCGGCAGGCAGUGCGGACCCGCCGGGCAGCCGUGCACGGUUGUCGUCCUCAGCGGCAGGAGCCAGUUUGUUGCUCAGGGCCUUGUCUUUUUACAAAGAGCCCCAGGCCCCGGGGGCUUCUCUGGGUGCCUCUUUGCUGCCAUGUCUGCACGCGGGCGGAGAGCAGACCAGGCUACCGACCCUCUCGCUUUGCUGUCUUCACGUGGAAAAGCCAGUGUCGUAGCCCCAAAGGAGGGGAAACUGUAUUGAUUUGGGGAGCCUCUAUGUUGAUUUCAAAACAGAUUGUCUCCUGUGUUCUCAAAGACUGGAAGCGAACCCCACAACCGCCUUAGGCCACAAAAGCUUUAUCCUUUCUAAUUAGCAUCCCUGUGACCUGCUCUGCGCCCUGCAGAUAUUUUGCUCAGCCAGCCAGAAGGAGGGAGGCCAGACACCAGCCCCCACAGACCUGCGGCUGCGACCCCCUGCCUGGGGACGAUGGGGUCGGGGUCCAGUAGCUGCCCCAGAAACAAGUGGGGCUGCAGGAGGCUGAUGGUGAGCUUGGAGGUUGGCAGAAUUCUAAAUCUGGGCACUGCAGGGUCCCCACAGGUCACGACCCUACUCUGCUCCACCCAGGCUCCGGAGGACCUGAGCAGGAACCUCUGCAGGGGGGGCCCGGGGCUCCCUGUCCUCUCAGCAGCCGGCAGUGCUCCCUGACAGCCCGGGCCUCUCCCUCCAGUAGUUCGGUAGUUUGCUGUCACCAACAUGGCUGGGCCUGGGACAGGCUCCUCCUCUCCCUCCAGAAGCCAGGCAGUCCCUCCUGCCUCAGUUUCUCAGACUAGGCCGCCUCUCCCAUCGCGAGACACUGAAGACCCUCAGCUGUUUCCAUCUGCCCAGUCUGACUGCUGGAUCGCCCUCUGUGUGCGUUGGUUUGCUGUGUUCUUGCUACUCGCCCUUGGAUAAGAUUUCUUCUCUACUCAUGAAGCUGCGUGUCCUGGAGGGCAGGGCCGCACCUCACAUGCAUGUUGCCCACAUAGCUCAGCAACAGAUGCUCUCACGCUUGUUAAAAGUAAAACCGGGCCAGGCGCAGUGGCUCACGCCUGUAAUCCCAGCACUUUGGGAGGCCGAGGUGGGUGGAUCACCUGAAGUCAGGAGUUUGAGACUAGCCUGACCAACAUGGAGAAAUCCCGUCUCUACUAAAAAUACAAAAAAUUAGCUGGGCGUGGUGGCACAUGCCUGUAAUCCCAGCUACUCGGAGGCAGGAGAAUUGCUUGAACCCAGGAGGCGGAGGUUGCGGUGAGCCAAGAUCACGCCAUAGCAAUUGCACUCCGGCCUGGGCAACAAGAGCAAAACUCUGUCAAAAAG
rnacentral:lncRNA from 1 species